UGGGGAAUUUUACGCAAUGGGGGAAACCCUGACGUAGCGACACCGCGUGAGCGAAGAAGCCCCUCGGGGUGUAAAGCUCUGUCGGCUGGAACGAAAAAAAUGACGGUACCAGCAAAGGAAGCAUCGGCUAACUACGUGCCAGCAGCCGCGGUAAGACGUAGGAUGCGAGCGUUGUCCGGAUUUAUUGGGCGUAAAGAGUUCGUAGGCGGUUUGUUAAGUCCGGUGUUAAAGACUGAGGCUCAACCUCGGGAGUGCAUUGGAUACUGGCAGACUUGAGUACAGUAGAGGCGAGUGGAAUUCCCAGUGUAGCGGUGAAAUGCGUAGAUAUUGGGAAGAACACCAGUGGCGUAGGCGACUCGCUGGGCUGUAACUGACGCUGAGGAACGAAAGCCAGGGUAGCAAAUGGG
rnacentral:rRNA from 1 species